GGAUCAAUAUUUCGGUCAUGCCGUUGGUAUGCACUGUUAUCAUUGAUUUCUCACCUUCUAAAGAAUCGUAAUGCCAUUAAUUUGGUGUUACGGGGAAUUAGGACUGUUACCUUGAAAAAUUAGAGUGUUUAAAGCAGGCUCACGCUUGAAUACAUUAGCAUGGAAUAAUGAAAUAGGACAUCCGAUUCUAUUUCGUUGGUUUCUAGGAUCGAUGUAAUGAUUAAUAGGGAUAGUUGGG
rnacentral:rRNA from 1 species